UACGUAGGGCGCAAGCGUUAUCCGGAAUUAUUGGGCGUAAAGAGCUCGUAGGCGGUUCGUCGCGUCGGCUGUGAAAUCCCGGAGCUCAACUCCGGGUCUGCAGUCGAUACGGGCGGACUUGAGUUCGGCAGGGGAGACUGGAAUUCCUGGUGUAGCGGUGAAAUGCGCAGAUAUCAGGAGGAACACCGGUGGCGAAGGCGGGUCUCUGGGCCGAUACUGACGCUGAGGAGCGAAAGCGUGGGGAGCGAACAGG
rnacentral:rRNA from 1 species